UUCCGGUUGAUCCUGCCGGAGGCUACUGCUAUUGGAAUCCGAUUAAGCCAUGCGAGUCUAAAGGACUUCGGUCCUUGGCGGACGGCUCAGUAACACGUGGAGAAUCUGCCCUCAGGAGGGGGAUAACCCCGGGAAACUGGGAAUAAUACCCCAUAGGUCUAGGAUGCUGGAAUGCUUCUAGGCUGAAAGCUCCGGCGCCUGAGGAUGGCUCUGCGGCUUAUCAGGUUGUAGUGAGGGUAACGUCCUCACUAGCCUAUGACGGGUACGGGCCCUGAGAGGGGAAGCCCGGAGAUGGACUCUGAGACACGAGUCCAGGCCCUACGGGGCGCAGCAGGCGCGAAAACUCCGCAAUGCUCGAAAGAGUGACGGGGGGAUUCCAAGUGCCUACGCUCAGCGUAGGCUGUUCAGAUGCCUAAAAAGCAUCUGGAGUAAGGGCUGGGUAAGACGGGUGCCAUCUGUGGCAGCAGCCGAAAAUUUGGCUUGCUACUGCAAGGCAUAAGCCGCCGCGGUAAUACCCGCAGCUCGAGUGGUAGUCGAUUUUAUUGGGCCUAAAGCGUCCGUAUCCGGUCUGGUAAAUGCUUGGGUAAAUCGUCUGGCUUAACCAGAUGAAUUCCGGGUAGACUACCAGACUUGGGACCGGUUGAGGAAGAGGGUACUUCAGGGGUAGGAGUGAAAU
rnacentral:rRNA from 1 species